rnacentral:rRNA from 1 species
GAACGAACGCUGGCGGCAGGCUUAACACAUGCAAGUCGAGCGCCUCGCAAGAGGAGCGGCAGACGGGUGAGUAACGCGUGGGAAUCUACCCAUCUCUACGGAACAACUCCGGGAAACUGGAGCUAAUACCGUAUACGUCCUUCGGGAGAAAGAUUUAUCGGAGAUGGAUGAGCCCGCGUUGGAUUAGCUAGUUGGUGGGGUAAUGGCCUACCAAGGCGACGAUCCAUAGCUGGUCUGAGAGGAUGAUCAGCCACACUGGGACUGAGACACGGCCCAGACUCCUACGGGAGGCAGCAGUGGG